rnacentral:rRNA from 1 species
AUUGAACGCUGGCGGCAGGCCUAACACAUGCAAGUCGAACGGUAACAGGAAGAAGCUUGCUUCUUUGCUGACGAGUGGCGGACGGGUGAGUAAUGUCUGGGAAACUGCCUGAUGGAGGGGGAUAACUACUGGAAACGGUAGCUAAUACCGCAUAACGUCGCAAGACCAAAAAGGGGGACCUUCGGGCCUCUUGCCCUCGGAUGUGCCCAGAUGGGAUUAGCUAGUAGGUGGGGUAACGGCUCACCUAGGCGACGAUCCCUAGCUGGUCUGAGAGGAUGACCAGCCACACUGGAACUGAGACACGGUCCAGACUCCUACGGGAGGCAGCAGUGGGGAAUAUUGCACAAUGGGCGCAAGCCUGAUGCAGCCAUGCCGCGUGUAUGAAGAAGGCCUUCGGGUUGUAAAGUACUUUCAGCGGGGAGGAAGGGAGUAAAGUUAAUACCUUGGCUCAUUGACGUUACCCGCAGAAGAAGCACCGGCUAACUCCGUG